rnacentral:lncRNA from 1 species
GUUGGAGAAGCCUCCUUUCCACUUCCCCGGAAACUGGUGACAUUUCAGGGCUUCCCGCUCGCUGGAGGCCCCCGCCCAAGGAUCUUCUCAGAUACCUUCUCAGAGGACGCGCCACAGAACUGGGGAUCACCCCGACCAGAGCAAGACUCCCUGCCCCCACGGAGCGCCCAGCCUCUGGGCUGCCUUUCUCGGGGAGCCCGCGAGCCCGGGGCUCCCCGGACCCGGAGCGCCGUGCCCAGCUCCUCCGGCGACACGCACCGGCGAAGUUCCCACCUGAGCAGGCAGCCGGAGGUGUCAGACGCGAGGGAGGGGCGGGGACGGGGAGCCCGGGCGCGGGGAGGCCAGACCCGGGGGCGACCGCGCGCGGAGGAGAUGCUCCCGGGCCACCCGGGCUGGCCAACCUGCUGCCGCCUCCCAGAGCCGCGCGGGGAAACGCGCCGCGCUCCGCGCCGGCUGCCGCCCGCCCGCCCUCCCGCUCCCGGCGCCGCGGCCCGGGCACUAGGACCCCAGAAAGGAAGGAGGGCGCGCCGGCGGCGGCGCCGCACUUACCGCGCUCGGCUCGCCCGCGCCGCCGGCUCGCUACCCGGCCGCAGCCGCCGCGUCCACCCGAGCAGCGCGCACACACAGCACUUGGCCAAAUUCAAAGGAGCCGGGCGCGGGGGAGGGGGCCCCGCCGAGGGAGCGGAGCGUGGGAGCUGGGGGAGGGGGGCCGGGAGGGGGAGAGGACAGCAAGUGUUACAACUUCCUUCCCUGCCCACCGCCCGGCCGCGGCGGGCGAGGGACGCGGCGAGGGGAGGGCAGCGCGCGCCGGAGCGCCAAUGAGUUCACUUUCUUUUCCUCCCCCGCGCUCUCCCCCUCUCCCUUCCCGCCGGCCCCCUGGAAGCCUCCGGCUCGGCCGGAGAGGCCGGGCCGGAGUUUUCGGUUUUCGGCGGGGGGAGCCGGAGGACGGCUGGCGGCGAGGGAGGAGGAAGAGGGAGCGGGAAAGGUGAGGCGAGCGGGGCGCGGUGCCAGGGAGCGGCAUCCAGGACCUUAAUUGUGCGACGGGGGGACGCGCCGGGCCGAGUGUGCCCGAGACCAGGCGCGUACACGUGUCCGUGUGUGUGCGUGUGUAUGUGUGUGUGCGCGCGCGGGUGUGUGUGCCAGAGGAGGCGAGCCUACCAUGCGCUUCCCCCGGUGCAGAUCGCGGGAGAGCCCAAUCACGGGGCGAGCUGGACCGGGCUGUGAUCAUUUAUAAUCCUGGACUCCUCCGCUCCGCCACUUGUCAAGAUGACAGGUACUUUAUUUCUUCUUCUUCUUAAUUCAAGAAAAAAAAAAAAGAGAGAUUCCCCGUUUACUGCCGUUUUCUGUCAAAUGGGAUUUGCCGGACUGAACCACGUUCGCCGCCCCUCCCUUCUCCCCUCCUCCAGGCCGCGUCGGGUACGGGAAAGCUCCGAGGCUCCCAUGCUGUGACCAAUCAGUGCCUCUACUACUCUUGCCGUGAUUUAGGGGUCAUCCAUGAAUAACACUUCACGCUGAUGAAUGGCUCUUGCAGGCUUUCGGCUCUGAUGAGGGGUCUGCCCGCCGCUGAUUGCAAACACUAAUGAACUCCCAGCGCCAUUUGAAAUUCACACGCACCUACAAAGUGCGGGGGUACGUGCGUGCGGGGGUGGGGGGCGGAGGGGUCUGUCCUUUUCUUCUCCCGGCCGCGCGCGCGCGCGCGCGCGCGGGGAGCGGGGUCGGGGAGGGGGGAAGGGGCGGGUAAUUGCUUUGGACCGAGGUGGAAACACUUCUGUGUGUAAUCAAACCUCUAACCUUCUUAGAAAACUACUUUUCUUGAUCUUUCAUAGGGUGGGCAUUUCAGGUCAGCUGAGUCACCCGAGGAGGUAGGAGUGCAAGACACUG